CUUCCCAAGUGAUGGUAACCACUAUCUCCAAAGAAAGACUAACACAAAAGUCUCUAUUCUUUCCUAAACACUGACUGAACCCAACCAGUGAGCUAUGCCAAGCUUCUCAUCAUCCUAAGAUACCACAACUCACCAAACACUAAUUCAACUCACACCAGUGGAUGAAAGACAAAGAACACUACCUUAUAGAACAGCUGACCAAGAGAGGCUCGUCACCAGUCAAAAGUGGAUGGAGCAGGAGCUUAUACAUCUACAGAAGCUGUGGCUAAUAUUCCCCUUCCAAGACUCCUGUAGCCCAGCCCUCAGAUACUGACUAAGCUCAUGGAGCAUGAUGUUGUAGAGGCAUUCAUCCUUAGUGGUUGAGGUAACAGAUGCCAUAAACACUGGAGAGAGGGCUCCUUCUUUUCUCCAAAAGUAUUCCAUGGACUAGCAACCUGCAGAGGGUACCUCCUGGGUAGAUCACCAGUCUGCACUCCAGGAUGAGCCAAUGCCCACAGACUCCAUCACAUCGGACAUACAAGCCUGGUUUGCAUGGCGUGUGUUCCAUCAAGCAACCCUGGCUAAUGUUCCAAUCCAAGAAGUCAAACUCAAUGGCAAAAGGUAAAAGCAAUGUUGGACUCCCUCCAUCAUCCUGGCAUGCUCUGAUGUAAAAAA